GCCAUGCAUGUCUCAGUACAAGCCUAAUUAAGGUGAAACCGCGAAAGGCUCAUUAAAUCAGUUAUGGUUCCUUAGAUCGUACCCACAUUUACUUGGAUAACUGUGGUAAUUCUAGAGCUAAUACAUGCAAACAGAGCUCCGACCGGAGACGGAAGGAGCGCUUUUAUUAGAUCAAAACCAAUCGGCGGCGGGYUCGCCCGUCGUCGUACAUCUUGGUGACUCUGAAUAACUUUUUGCUGAUCGCACGGUCCAGCACCGGCGACGCAUCUUUCAAAUGUCUGCCUUAUCAACUGUCGAUGGUAGGUUCUGCGCCUACCAUGGUUGUAACGGGUAACGGGGAAUCAGGGUUCGAUUCCGGAGAGGGAGCCUGAGAAACGGCUACCACAUCCAAGGAAGGCAGCAGGCGCGCAAAUUACCCACUCCCGGCACGGGGAGGUAGUGACGAAAAAUAACGAUACGGGACUCAUCCGAGGCCCCGUAAUCGGAAUGAGUACACUCUAAACCCUUUAACGAGGAUCAAUUGGAGGGCAAGUCUGGUGCCAGCAGCCGCGGUAAUUCCAGCUCCAAUAGCGUAUAUUAAAGUUGUUGCGGUUAAAAAGCUCGUAGUCGAAUCUGUGUCUCGCGCCGCCGGUUCAUCGCUCGCGGUGUUUAACUGGCGUGUCGCGGGACGUCCUGCCGGUGGGCUCAGCCUCCUUCGCGGGGGGCGGCCCAACUACGCAUCCCGCCGCGGUGCUCUUCGCUGAGUGUCGAGGUGGGCCGGCACGUUUACUUUGAACAAAUUAGAGUGCUUAAAGCAGGCUCAAACUUCGCCUGAAUAUUCUGUGCAUGGAAUAAUGGAAUAGGACCUCGGUUCUAUUUUGUUGGUUUUCGGAACCCCGAGGUAAUGAUUAAUAGGAACGGAUGGGGGCAUUCGUAUUGCGACGUUAGAGGUGAAAUUCUUGGAUCGUCGCAAGACGGACGGAAGCGAAAGCAUUUGCCAAAAACGUUUUCAUUGAUCAAGAACGAAAGUUAGAGGUUCGAAGGCGAUCAGAUACCGCCCUAGUUCUAACCAUAAACGAUGCCAGCUAGCGAUCCGCCGACGUUCCUCCGAUGACUCGGCGGGCAGCUUCCGGGAAACCAAAGCUUUUGGGUUCCGGGGGAAGUAUG
rnacentral:rRNA from 1 species